rnacentral:rRNA from 1 species
GAUGAACGCUGGCGGCGUGCUUAACACAUGCAAGUCGAACGGUGAAGGCGGAGCUUGCUCUGCUGGAUCAGUGGCGAACCGGUGAGUAACACGUGAGCAAUCUGCCCCUGACUCUGGGAUAAGCGCUGGAAACGGCGUCUAAUACUGGAUACGAGCUGCGAAGGCAUCUUCAGCAGCUGGAAAGAAUUUCGGUCAGGGAUGAGCUCGCGGCCUAUCAGCUUGUUGGUGAGGUAAUGGCUCACCAAGGCGUCGACGGGUAGCCGGCCUGAGAGGGUGACCGGCCACACUGGGACUGAGACACGGCCCAGACUCCUACGGGAGGCAGCAGUGGGGAAUAUUGCACAAUGGGCGAAAGCCUGAUGCAGCAACGCCGCGUGAGGGACGACGGCCUUCGGGUUGUAAACCUCUUUUAGCAGGGAAGAAGCGAAAGUGACGGUACCUGCAGAAAAAGCGCCGGCUAACUACGUG